rnacentral:rRNA from 1 species
GACGGAGGAUGCAAGUGUUAUCCGGAAUCACUGGGCGUAAAGCGUCUGUAGGUGGUUUGAUAAGUCAACUGUUAAAUCUUGAGGCUCAACCUCAAAACCGCAGUCGAAACUAUUAGACUAGAGUAUAGUAGGGGUAAAGGGAAUUUCCAGUGGAGCGGUGAAAUGCGUAGAGAUUGGAAAGAACACCGAUGGCGAAGGCACUUUACUGGGCUAUUACUAACACUGAGAGACGAAAGCUAGGGUAGCAAAUGGG